rnacentral:misc_RNA from 1 species
UCUUUCGAAUGGUGAUCUGAGCUUUUGAGGGACAACACCUUCAGUGGAGAUCUUGCUAUGGGCCAACCUUGACUUAACUUUAUGAAUGCAUCAACUCCCCCAACCAAAUGAGCAACAAUUGUCUCAUCCCUAUCCAAGUACUCAAACGAAUGCCUUGAUUUAUCUGCAUGCUUCACCACCAAACGUCUCAAGGUGCACUGAAUGAUUCUAUCUUGCACUUUUCUGACAAACCACUCCAACGAAGAC